rnacentral:rRNA from 1 species
GAUGAACGCUAGCGGGAGGCCUAACACAUGCAAGCCGAGCGGUAGAGUUCCUUCGGGGACUUGAGAGCGGCGCACGGGUGCGGAACACGUGUGCAACCUGCCUUUAUCUGGGGGAUAGCCUUUCGAAAGGAAGAUUAAUACCCCAUAAUAUAUUGAUUCGCAUGGAUUGAUAUUGAAAACUCCGGUGGAUAAAGAUGGGCACGCGCAAGAUUAGAUAGUUGGUGAGGUAACGGCUCACCAAGUCAGUGAUCUUUAGGGGGCCUGAGAGGGUGAUCCCCCACACUGGUACUGAGACACGGAACAGACUCCUACGGGAGGCAGCAGUGAGGAAUAUUGGACAAUGGGUGAGAGCCUGAUCCAGCCAUCCCGCGUGAAGGAUGACGGCCCUAUGGGUUGUAAACUUCUUUUGUACAGGGAUAAACCUAGAUACGUGUAUCUAGCUGAAGGUACUGUACGAAUAAGCACCGGCUAACUCCGUGCCAGCAGCCGCGGUAAUAC